AUACUGCAAGUCGAGCGGACUUAAAAAGCUUGCUUUUGUAAGUUAGCGGCGGACGGGUGAGUAACACGUGGGCAACCUGCCCUUGAGACUGGGAUAACUUCGGGAAACCGGAGCUAAUACCGGAUAAUAUAAGGAACCUCCUGGUUCCUUAUUGAAAGAUGGUUUCGGCUAUCACUUAAGGAUGGGCCCGCGGCGCAUUAGCUAGUUGGUGAGGUAACGGCUCACCAAGGCGACGAUGCGUAGCCGACCUGAGAGGGUGAUCGGCCACACUGGGACUGAGACACGGCCCAGACUCCUACGGGAGGCAGCAGUAGGGAAUCUUCCACAAUGGACGAAAGUCUGAUGGAGCAACGCCGCGUGAGUGAUGAAGGCCUUCGGGUCGUAAAGCUCUGUUGUUAGGGAAGAACAAGUGCGAGAGUAACUGCUCGCACCUUGACGGUACCUAACCAGAAAGCCACGGCUAACUACGUGCCAGCAGCCGCGGUAAUACGUAGGUGGCAAGCGUUAUCCGGAAUUAUUGGGCGUAAAGCGCGCGCAGGUGGUUUCUUAAGUCUGAUGUGAAAGCCCACGGCUCAACCGUGGAGGGUCAUUGGAAACUGGGGAACUUGAGUGCAGAAGAGGAAAGUGGAAUUCCAAGUGUAGCGGUGAAAUGCGUAGAGAUUUGGAGGAACACCAGUGGCGAAAGCGACUUUCUGGUCUGUAACUGACACUGAGGCGCGAAAGCGUGGGGAGCAAACA
rnacentral:rRNA from 1 species